GUGCAAACAGAUUAUGGCAGGGGUGGGCAAACUUUUUGGCCCUUGGGCCACACCUGGGUGGGGAAACUGCAUGCAGGACUAUGAAUGUAGGUCUGGGGCAGGAGAUUGGGGUGUGGAGGGAGU